UACGUAGGGGGCUAGCGUUGUCCGGAUUUAUUGGGCGUAAAGAGCGUGUAGGCGGCCAGGUAGGUCUGCUGUGAAAACUCAGGGCUCAACCCUGAGCGUGCUUCCGAUACGGGCAGACUAGAGGUAUGCAGGGGAGAACGGAAUUCCUGGUGUAGCGGUGGAAUGCGCAGAUAUCAGGAGGAACACCGGUGGCGAAGGCGGUUCUCUGGGCAUGUCCUGACGCUGAGGAGCGAAAGUGUGGGGAGCGAACAGG
rnacentral:rRNA from 1 species